rnacentral:rRNA from 1 species
AACGUAGGACACAAGCGUUAUCCGGAGUUACUGGGCGUAAAGGGCGCGUAGGCGGUCGUGACAAGUCACUUGUGAAAUCUCCGGGCUUAACUCGGAACGGUCAAGUGAUACUGUCGGACUAGAGUACAGAAGGGGCAACUGGAAUUCUCGGUGUAGCGGUGAAAUGGCGUAGAUAUCGAAGAGGAACACCUGGCGGCGAAGGCGGGUUGCUGGGCUGAUACUG